UCCUGUAUCAUGUUCAUGAAGGUGUUGAGGUGUCAGAGUCUCAGGAUGCAAAGUUUUCAGGACGAGUCCAGAGUGACAAAGACGCCCUCAGAGAAGGACGAAUCAGACUUCAACUGUCCAGACUCAGGACUGAUGACUCGGGUCUGUACCUGUGUGAGGUCAACACUGAUUAUGGCUUCAGUGUUGGAAGAUGUCGACUCAACGUCACUGAAUGUUACAAAAGCAUUUGCUCUACAAACAGUUUGCUUACAAAGUUGAUUCACUGUUGUUCUUCUUUUUUGGUCAUGGCUCAAAAUUAGUUCCAAAGUUAGAGUGUUGUGGUCCC
ensembl:lncRNA